AUGAUAGAUGUUGCAAUUAAUUCCCUGACCACCAGAUUUGAUGAGCUUCAGUCAUUUGGGAGUAUAUUUGGCUUCUUAUUCAACUCUAAAAAAUUGAAAUCCUUGGAUGAUAAUGACCUGAGAAGAUGUUGCACUAAUUUUGCAAAGACCUUUUCUCAUGACAACUCAGCAGAUGUUGACUUGGAUGAUUUAGUUUCUGAACUGAAAGUGUUGCAAAUGACAUUGCCAAAUACACUCAUGCCAGCAGAUCAGAUAUUUGAGUUUGUUAGAGCUGCAGAUUGCUAUCCAAAUGUGUCAAUUGCUUACCGAAUUCUCUAAACUGUGCCUGUGACGGUAGCUUCAGCCGAACGAAGUUUUUCAAAAUUGAAGUUGUUGAUAAAUUAUUUGAGGUCAUCUAUGUCGCAAGAAAGAUUGAAUGGAUUGGCAAUAUGUUGUAUUGAGAAGGAUCUGUUGGAUAACAUUGAUCUUGAUACCGUCAUUAAUGAUUUUGCAUCAAAAAAUGCACGAAGGAGCCGUUUCUCAUGA
rnacentral:rRNA from 1 species